rnacentral:rRNA from 1 species
AUUGGAGGAAAAGAGCCUUCACGUGGGAUCUGCUGUAGACUGGGAAAAAAAGGGGGAAACCGGGGCUAUUCCGGAUGCUUGAUUGAACCGCAUGGUUCAAUCAUAAAAGGUGGCUUUUUGCUUACCACAUUACAGAUGGACCCGCGGCGCAUUAGCUAGUUGGUGAGGUAACGGCUCACCAAGGCGACGAUGCGUAGCCGACCUGAGAGGGUGAUCGGCCACACUGGGACUGAGACACGGCCCAGACUCCUACGGGAGGCAGCAGUAGGGAAUCUUUCCGCAAUGGACGAAAGUCUGACGGAGCAACGCCGCGUGAGUGAUGAAGGUUUUCGGAUCGUAAAACUCUGUUGUUAGGGAAGAACAAGUACCGUUCGAAUAGGGCGGCACCUUGACGGUACCUAACCAGAAAGCCACGGCUAACUACGUGCCAGCAGCCGCGGUAAUACGUAGGUGGCAAGCGUUGUCCGGAAUUAUUGGGCGUAAAGCGCGCGCAGGCGGUUUUCUUAAGUCUGAUGUGAAAGCCCCCGGCUCACCGGGGAGGGUCAUUGGAAACUGGGGAACUUUGAUUCCAAAGAAGAAAGUGGAAUUCCACGUGUAGCGGUGAAAAUGCGUAGAGAUUUGAAGGAACACCGUGGCGAAGGCAACUCUCUGGCCUGGUACUGACCCCUUAGGCCGAAGCGUGGGGAACGAACAGAAUAAAAUACCCGGGUAACCCACCCCCUAAACCGAUGAAGUGCUAAGGGUUGAGGUUUUUCCCCCCCUUUAAGGGGUGCACAAACCCCAUUAAACCACCUUCC